UACGUAGGGUGCAAGCGUUAAUCGGAAUUACUGGGCGUAAAGCGUGCGCAGGCGGUUUUGUAAGUCUGUCGUGAAAGCCCCGGGCUCAACCUGGGAAUUGCGAUGGAGACUGCAAGGCUUGAAUCUGGCAGAGGGGGGUAGAAUUCCACGUGUAGCAGUGAAAUGCGUAGAGAUGUGGAGGAACACCGAUGGCGAAGGCAGCCCCUUGGGUCAAGAUUGACGCUCAUGCACGAAAGCGUGGGGAGCAAACAGG
rnacentral:rRNA from 1 species